ACUCCUACGGGAGGCAGCAGUGGGGAAUAUUGGACAAUGGGCGAAAGCCUGAUCCAGCCAUGCCGCGUGUGUGAAGAAGGCCUUAUGGUUGUAAAGCACUUUAAGCGAGGAGGAGGCUACUGAGACUAAUACUCUUGGAUAGUGGACGUUACUCGCAGAAUAAGCACCGGCUAACUCUGUGCCAGCAGCCGCGGUAAU
rnacentral:rRNA from 1 species